rnacentral:lncRNA from 1 species
UCAAGCACCAGCAACGUCACCAACAGCAACACCAGCACCACCCACACCAACUUCUUCUCCACCGCCAGCAACCACUCCUCCACCAGUUUCAGCCCCACCUCCUGUUACCCAAUCUCCACCUCCAGCUACCCCUCCUCCAGUUUCAGCCCCACCACCUGCCACCCCUCCUCCCGCAACCCCACCACCAGCAACUCCUCCUCCCGCCACCCCACCACCAGCAACCCCACCACCUGCUACUCCUCCACCAGCAACCCCUCCUCCCGCUGUUCCUCCACCAGCUCCAUUGGCAGCUCCACCAGCUCUUGUUCCAGCUCCAGCUCCCAGCAAGCCUAAGUUGAAGUCUCCAG